AGAAGGGAUUUCACUAUAUUGCCAGGUGGAUCUUGAACUCUUGAUCUCAAGUGAUCCACCUGCCUUGGUCUCCCAAACUGCUGGGAUUACAGACAAACAGAGAGCCAAAUCAUAAGUGAACUCCCAUUCACAAUUGCUUCAAAUAGAAUAAAAUACCUAGGAAUCCAACUUACAAGGGAUGUGAAGGACCUCUUCAAGGAGAACUACAAACCAAUGCUCAAGGAAAUAAAAGAGGAUACAAACAAAUGGAAGAACAUUCCAUGCUCAUGGGUAGGAAGAAUCAAUAUCGUGAAAAUGACCAUACUGCCCAAAGUAAUUUACAGAUUCAGUGCCAUCCCCAUCAAGCUACCAAUGACUUUCCUCACAGAAUUGGAAAAAUCUACUUUAAAGUUCAUAUGGAACCAAAAAAGAACCCACAUCGCCAAGUCAACCCUAAGCCAAAAGAACAAAGCUGGAGGCAUCACACUACCUGACUUCAAACUAUACUACAAUGCUACAGUAACCAAAACAGCAUGGUACUAGUACCAAAACAGAGAUAUAGAUCAAUGGAACAGAACAGAGCCCUCAGAAAUAACACCACAUAUCUAUAACUAUCUGAUCUUUGACAAACCUGAGAAAAACAAGAAAUAGGGAAAGGAUUCCCUAUUUAAUAAAUGGUGCUGGGAAAACUGGCUAGCCAUAUGUAGAAAGCUGAAACUGGAUCCCUUCCUUACACCUUAUACAAAAAUCAAUUCAAGAUAUAUUAAAGACUUAAAUGUUAGACCUAAAACCAUAAAAACCCUAGAAGAAAACCUAGGCAUUACCAUUCAGGACACAGGCAUGGGCAAGGACUUCAUGUCUAAAAUACCAAAAGCAAUGGCAACAAAAGCCAAAAUUGACAAAUGGGAUCUAAUUAAACUAAAGAGCUUCUGCACAGCAAAAGAAACUACCAUCAGAGUGAACAGGCAGCAUAAAAAAUGGGAGAAAAUUUUUGCAACCUACUCAUCUGACAAAGGGCUAAUAUCCAGAAUCGACAAUGAACUCCAACAAAUUUACAAGAAAAAAAACAAACAAUCCCAUCAAAAAGUGGGCAAAGGAUAUGAACAGACACUUCUCAAAAGAAGACAUUUAUGCAGCCAAAAAACACAUGAAAAAAUGCUCACCAUCACUGGCCAUCAGAGAAAUGCAAAUCAAAACCACAAUGAGAUACCAUCUCACACCAGUUAGAAUGGCGAUCAUUAAAAAGUCAGGAAACAACAGGUGCUGGAAAGGAUGUGGAGAAAUAGGAACACUUUUACACUGUUGGUGGGACUGUAAACUAGUUCAACCCUUGUGGAAGUCAGUGUGGCGAUUCCUCAGGGAUCUAGAACUAGAAAUUCCAUUUGACCCCGCAAUCCCAUUACUGGGUAUAUACUCAAAGGACUAUAAAUCAUGCUGCUAUAAAGACACAUGCACACAUAUGUUUAUUGCGGCAUUAUUCACAAUAGCAAAGACUUGGAACCAACCCAAAUGUCCUACAGUGAUAGACUGGAUUAAGAAAAUGUGGCACAUAUACACCAUGGAAUACUAUGCAGCCAUGAAAAACGAUGAGUUCAUGUCCUUUGUAGGGACAUGGAUGAAAUAGGAAAUCAUCAUUCUCAGUAAACUAUCGCAAGAACAAAAAAUCAAACA